rnacentral:rRNA from 1 species
CUAAGGGCAUACGGCGAAUGCCUUGGCACUAAGAGCCGAUGAAGGACGUGGUAAGCUGCGAAAAGCCACGGGGAGCCGCAAGCAGGCUUCGAUCCGUGGAUGUCCGAAUGGGGAAACCCGCCAUCCGUCAUGGGAUGGCAUCCUUCGGGAGGGGAACCCGGUGAACUGAAACAUCUAAGUAGCCGGAGGAAGAGAAAUCAAACGAGAUGCCCACAGUAGCGGCGAGCGAAGAGGGCAGAGCCUAAACCAGAGAGCUUCGGCUCCCUGGGGUUACGGACUGGCAGAAGCAAAGUCCAAUCUAGUCGAAUCACCUGGAAAGGUGAGCCACAGACCGUAAGAGCCGGGUAGAUGAAAGAUCGGAUGAGCGGCCAGUAUCCAGAGUACCGCGAAGCACGAGGAAUUUUGCGGGAAGUCGGGGGGACCACCCUCCAAGGCUAAACACUCCUUAGUGACCGAUAGCGCAUAGUACCGUGAGGGAAAGGUGAAAAGAACCGCGGGAGCGGAGUGAAAGAGAACCUGAAACCGUAUGUCUACAAGCAGUCGGAGCGCAAGCGACGGCGUGCCUAUUGAAGAAUGAGCCAACGAGUUACGGGCACCAGCGAGGUUAAGCAGGAAAUGCGGAGCCGUAGGGAAACCGAGUCUGAAAAGGGCGGAUAGUUGGUGUUCGUAGACCCGAAACUGUAGUGAUCUACCCAUGAUCAGGUUGAAGCACGGGUAAAAUCGUGUGGAGGACCGAACCGGUGAGUGUUGAAAAACUUUCGGAUGAAUCGUGGGUAGCGGUGAAAUUCCAAUCGAACGCAGAGAUAGCUGGUUCUCCUCGAAAUAGCUUUAGGGCUAGCCUCAGGCAGUAAGCAUAGGCGGUAGAGCACUGAUCGGGAUAGGGACUGUAAUGGUUACCGAACCCUGUCAAACUACGAAUGGUUAUGCUGCAGAGCCUGGGAGUCAGACUACGAGAGAUAAGUCCCGUUGUCAAAAGGGAAACAGCCCAGACCAUCAGCUAAGGUCCCCAAUGCCAUACUAAGUGGAAAAGGAUGUGGGGCNUGCCGGAGCCGACGUUGGGAUACCACCCUUCAAUUAUCGGGAUUCUAACCGAGCGAGCAACGAUCGCCGGGACAGUGUUAGGCGGGCAGUUUGACUGGGGCGGUCGCCUCCUAAAGAGUAACGGAGGCGCCCAAAGGUUCCCUCAGCGCGGACGGAAACCGCGCGCGGAGUGUAAAGGCAGAAGGGAGCUUGACUGCGAGCCAAACACGGCGAGCAGGUACGAAAGUAGGGCUUAGUGAUCCGGUGGCAUCCAAGUGGAAGGGCCAUCGCUCAACGGAUAAAAGCUACCCUGGGGAUAACAGGCUAAUCUCUCCCAAGAGUCCAUAUCGACGGGGAGGUUUGGCACCUCGAUGUCGGCUCAUCACAUCCUGGGGCUGAAGUCGGUCCCAAGGGCUGGGCUGUUCGCCCAUUAAAGUGGUACGUGAGCUGGGUUCAGAACGUCGUGAGACAGUUCGGUCCCUAUCCAUCGCGGGCGCAAGAGAUUUGAAGGGGGCUGCUCCUAGUACGAGAGGACCGGAGUGGACGGACCGCUGGUGUACCAAUUAUCCUGCCAAGGGUAUAGUUGGGUAGCUACGUCCGGAACGGAUAAACGCUGAAAGCAUCUAAGCGUGAAACCAUCCUUAAGAUGAGAUCUCUCACAGCGUAAGCUGGUAAGACACCUGGAAGAUUACCAGGUUGAUAGGCAGGGUGUGGAAGCGUAGCAAUAUGUUAAGCUGACCUGUACUAAUAUGUCGAGGGCUUGACUUAAAUCGGGCCGUUAGAUGAAAGAACGUCUCUUCAUGAAGUUUUGAGGGCUCAUGCCUUCAGUUACAUAAUCCGGUGGCGAUAGCUAAGGGGAUCCACCUGUUCCCAUGCCGAACACAGCAGUUAAGCCCUUAUACGCCGAAAGUACUCGACUGGAAACGGUCCGGGAGGAUAGGGAGCUGCCGGUUAGGAAAAGACGCCUGCAUCAAAAGAUGCAGGCGUCUUUGUGUUUGUCAGCGGUCAGCAGGCUCACGGCAGCAUUGCAAAGACGUGCCAUGGCACGUCUGUCCCGACUUCCGGUUUUUCUCCAAUUCAAAGUCGAUUUGAAAAAUUGAUUUCCACCGGACGCUAACCGCUGACUGUUUGCCGCUGACAAAAGAGGUGCUACCUAUUUCAUGCAGCACCUCUUUUUUUAUUGGCUAUCUUCACCAGACUCAGCAUCACCGGUACUUCCGUCAGGACGCCUACGGUGGUGGCCAGGGCGGCGGGGCUGGUGACUCCGAACAGGGCGAUGGCCACGGCUACGGCCAGUUCGAAGAAGUUGGAGGCUCCGAUCAUCCCUGCCGGAGCUGCGAUGCUGUGGGGCAGGUGGAGCAGGGUGCUGGCUCCGUAGGCAAUGGCAAAGAUCAGAUAGGUCUGGAGCACCAGGGGAAUGGCAAUCAGCAGGAUAUGGAAGGGAUUGGACAGGAUCACCUGGGCCUGGGAACUGAAGAUGAUGCACAGGGUCAGCAGCAGUCCCCAGGUGGUGGCCUGAUCGAAUUUGUGGAUAAAGACCUGGUUGAAAUAGGCUUCUCCCUUCUGACGGAUUACGGUGACCCGGGUCAGGAUGCCCCCUGCCAGAGGAAUCACCACAAACAGGAAGAUGCUCAGGAAAAGCACGCUGUAGGGGACCGUCACAUGGGAUACGCCCAGAAGGAAUUUUACAAUGGGCACGAAGGCCACCAGGAUGAUCAGGUCGUUGGUGGCCACCUGGACCACUGUAUAAGCCGGAUCCCCCUGGGUCAGGGUACUCCACACAAAAACCAUAGCGGUGCAGGGGGCGGCCCCCAGGAGCACGGCGCCGGCCAG